NNAUCCCGUGAACCAUCGAGUCUUUUGAACGCAAGUUGCGCCCGAAGCCUUCGGGCCGAGGGCACGCCUGCCUGGGCGUCACGCAUCGCGUCGCCCCCCCCGCCCGCCCGCCCGCUCAGGGCGGGGCGCGGGGUGGGGCGGAGACNGNCCUCCCGUGCGCCCCCCGUCGNGCGGGCGGCCC
rnacentral:rRNA from 1 species